rnacentral:tRNA from 1 species
CAGGUGUUAGCUCAACUGGAAGAGCAACGGGCUGUUAACCCGUGAGUUGGAGGUUCGAGUCCUUCACACUUACCCA